CGCCCGUCGCUCCUACCGAUUGGGUGUGCUGGUGAAGUGUUCGGAUCGGCGGCGGCCGGCGCGCGAGCGCCUGCUGCCGUUGAGAAGUUCAUUGAACCCUCCCACCUAGAGGAAGGAGAAGUCGUAACAAGGUCUCC
rnacentral:rRNA from 1 species